rnacentral:rRNA from 1 species
AGCGAACGCUGGCGGCAGGCUUAACACAUGCAAGUCGAGCGGGCGUAGCAAUACGUCAGCGGCAGACGGGUGAGUAACGCGUGGGAACGUACCUUUUGGUUCGGAACAACACAGGGAAACUUGUGCUAAUACCGGAUAAGCCCUUACGGGGAAAGAUUUAUCGCCGAAAGAUCGGCCCGCGUCUGAUUAGCUAGUUGGUGAGGUAACGGCUCACCAAGGCGACGAUCAGUAGCUGGUCUGAGAGGAUGAUCAGCCACAUUGGGACUGAGACACGGCCCAAACUCCUACGGGAGGCAGCAGUGGGGAAUAUUGGACAAUGGGGGCAACCCUGAUCCAGCCAUGCCGCGUGAGUGAUGAAGGCCCUAGGGUUGUAAAGCUCUUUUGUGCGGGAAGAUAAUGACGGUACCGCAAGAAUAAGCCCCGGCUAACUUCGUGCCAGCAGCCGCGGUAAGGUGCGCGAGU